CUCCGUGCAUCUUCAGACCUGGCAGCUUGUGGUCGCCUCCCUUCCAAGCCCCAGAAGAGGAUAUUCUUGUUCACUGGCAAAGCCAUCACCAUUUAAUGGGUAUCACAUACUGACUUGCACAAGUAGCAUCC
ensembl:snoRNA Gm24252 predicted gene, 24252